rnacentral:lncRNA from 1 species
AUGUACAGUUUCAAUAAAGAGCACGUUCCUUUUACCCCGUCUGUCGAGCCUGUUUCUAGUAGCUCCAUGGAAGGACGCUACAUUGGUGUCAGAAGCGGGAUGGCGCACGCUCUGAGCGAGCAAACCCCAAGAACCGACCGGGGAAGAGAACGUUCUCGGGAGAUCGAAGAUAUUCAGCAGAAGACUUCGGAACUGCUAGCCGCUUUGGAGCAACUGUGGGGACCGUCACCACCACGCUGGCGAGAGGCUUCCCUCACGACGGUGUGCGGAGAAAGAGGUAUUCCCCAACCACCGCCCAGGACGCCAGCCUCGGGGGAAACACCGCAGCGAACAGCGCUCCGCCUGCCGCGGUAUUCGGGGACGGAGCCGUGGGAAACAUACGAGGCACAGCUUCGCCUAGCAGCGCGGCACAACGGCUGGGAUGCGGCAACUACAGCAGCACAGCUGGGGCUAGCCUUGGAGGGGAAAGCGCUGACCGUGCUGCUAGACGUGAGAGCGGACCAACACCACGAGCUGCCCGCGCUCACGGCUGCCCUGAGACGCCGUUUCGGCCAACACGAAACAGCGGACUAUUAUCGCGGACAGCUCACAGCGAGACGACGCGGCAAAGGCGAAGCCCUGGGAGCGCUGGCCGCGGAUAUCCAGCUCCUGGCGCAGCGGGCGUACCCGCAAUACCCCGCAGAUAUCCAAGAAGACUUGGCGCUGCAGGCAUUCCUCCGAGCGCUCGCCCCAGAACGCCUGCAGCAGCAUGUUAGGCUUGCUGCCCCGGCUAACCUGGAGGCGGCGCAGCGAGAGGCGGAACGCACGGAAGCCGUCCUGCGGGAGGCGAAGGAGCCCGCGCAUUCUUGCCGCUCCCUGGAAGACGUCACUGAUGACGAGGUGGAGAGAGAAGCUGCGCGCCAAGUCGAGGCACCGCCUGCGCGCCAACGGCCUCCUAUUAUCUGCUGGCGUUGUCGGAAGCGAGGUCACCAGGCGCGCCACUGCAGAGAGCCCGCCCCCGCGGCACCUCAGGGAAACGGCAGAGGGGCGACGCCGUGA